UACGUAGGGGGCAAGCGUUGUCCGGAAUCAUUGGGCGUAAAGAGCGCGUAGGCGGCCCAGUAAGUCCGCUCUGAAAGUCAGGGGCUCAACCCCUGGAUGCGGGUGGAUACUGCUGGGCUAGAGUCCGGAAGAGGUGAGUGGAAUUCCUGGUGUAGCGGUGAAAUGCGCAGAUAUCAGGAGGAACACCGAUGGCGAAGGCAGCUCACUGGGCCGUAACUGACGCUGGGGAGCGAAAGCGUGGGGAGCGAACAGG
rnacentral:rRNA from 1 species